ACCAGUCUCCAGGAUUCUUGCCCUGACUUGGACAUUUGUGGGAUUUAUGGUUAAGGGAGAUCACUUGGCCAUAAAUCCCCGGUGAGGAAUGAUGAUGGUCCUCCCUCCCUACCCCCAAAAUUAAAGGCGCGAGAGCAGGACUCCCUGAAGGGAAACGGCCACCAUUUCUGCGAGGUCUGCGCAAACCUUACCAUGUAUGUGCCACCGUGAAACGCCGCUGUUUGGGGAUGUUGCUGCUGAGAAGCAUUCUGCGCAGAAGCCUGGGGGAAUUUCUCGGAGAGAUCACUGGAGAGAGCUUGGGAGAAACCGAUUUCCUCGCUGUCUUGGACUUCUCAUGCUGCAACAGGUUUUCUCGCAAGGAUUUCACAAGGUCUUCGUUCAGCCACGGGUUUGGACAAUGCGGAUUAUCCACUUCAGGUACUGUUAAAGUGUCCGGGCUUGUCUGCUGAGCCAUUUUCCUGGUCAACUUUGUACAGCUGGCAAGAAUCCAGGGCAACGUGGUUCCCUCGCUCACGGUCCCGGAAAUGUCCAGGGAAGCAGGUCUGAGCCUGCUGCUGUUAGUGCAUUCAGUCGCCUGCCUCAGUCUCUCUGUAGAGCCUGGGGCUGGGUGCAGAGGAGGGAAAGCACCGCGCUCGCACGGCUUUGUCCGUGCUACAAAGCAGCCUGUUAAACUAUUGGAACUAAUGCGCCGCAGCUGCGCGAGUGACUUCUGCUGCUUAUGUACAUAAAAAGUCCUGGGGGGAGGGCUUAACCAUCAGAUGCCUGCUGCUGGGUUGUUUGGCUAGUCUUUCCAUUUGCUUAUUCCUGAAUCCAAAGGAAAGAAAAACUUUGAACUUGACCUUCCUCUCCCGCAGGGCUAUUUAUCUCCCUACAGUCCACGUUCAUAAAAGAAAAAUGCCAAUCCUUUGUUUUUUUCUCUCUUUUUUUUUUAAUAAGGGAAGAAUAAACAAGCACUAGCUACACAAGGAGAAAUACUUCCCUGCUUACUAAACUCAAUCUGAUGAACCACAUAAGACAAAUCCCAUGAGAAUGAAAUUGACUUUUUCUCCCUCUGUCUCUAGUUAGAACCCAAACAAACAAAAGGUUUCAAAAUACUACACAUGGAACGCUUUACAGGUUGCAGUUGUGUUCUACAACCUUAUUAAUUAGGGCCCUUUCAAAGAACUAACAACACUAUUUAGACUCACAAAUGAUAUGUUUUCUCUUUGCAUUUAAACUAAUGCCCCUCCAGAAGGACAGAUAGUUUUCAUAAGAGUAGUUUCAAUUACUAUUUGUGAUAUAUACAAUUUUAUGUAUUCAACUAUAAGAGGGUGGAAUACAUCUAGCUUUUCGUGAUUUCCUUUAUUGCCUUUUAAUGUAAGAUUUUUAUGUGUGAUGAAUAGAGCUUCAACAAACUUAUUCAGAGAGCUUAAAAGAAAUAAUUUUGCAAUUGGAAAAAAAGUAAAAAUGUUGUAACAAGAAAGUAUGAAGUAAAGCCUGUUAAAUCUCAUUUAUGUGGACACUAGAAGUGCAGACAUUAAACAGCAUUGGAAAGAAACUCAAACCUUUGCAUAGGGAAGUUCCCAGUAGCUUAGUGAUGCUACAGACCAUGUGGGAUUGAAAUCAAAUCACAUCUCUAACGAUCUAGGAAUAUUUUAUGUUUCUUAAAAACCCAAUAACUUAGGGAGCUACAAAAUGCAUCCAGAAAAAAAAAAAUGGAGACUGGAAUGAUUCUUUUUGUUUCCUAUGAUUACUAUUAGGUCAAUUUUAAAAGUUUAUUCUGUUUCCCUGCCCCCCUGGUUGCUCCAUUUUAAGUUCCAAUUCCUUGUCUUUUAAAUGUUUACAGAAAAGUGUACUCUGAGGUUCUAUUCACAGAAGGACAGGGUCAACCACUUGGUCCAUCUUUCCUGUUAGCAUGCCCACAACAAUUCAAUGACACAUAAGUGCUAUGACUUCAUCAAAAAAUGUUAGACAAAUAUUUGAAUUUGAAGAAUCAGGAUAUGAUUAUUCUUAUUCUCAUAAUUUUUACCAAUAUAAAAGUUUUUGUCACUUUACAUCAUUAAGUGGCAAGGUAUGUGUGUGCAUGUGUGUGUGUAUUGUCUAUAUAUAUACUAUAUUUCUAUACAGUGGGCUGAGGGACUGAACGGCCUUAGAAGUUGUGCAAAACAGGUGUGCAAUGCUUGCCCUCAAGGAGCUUGUAACUUAAUGGAAAGGAUUGGACAAUACUUAGAAAAACAUACCAGAACAACUGGAAAAUGAAAUAGUCAGAUGCAGAAAAGUACAAUGAAAAUGAAAUGCGUAUAUGAUGAGAAAACUCUGGGUAAAGUUUAAGAAGGGAAGGUUCAGAAAUUAAUGGAAAGAAAGAAAAGAAAGAAGUGCACUUUACGAGUAAAAACUAGAAUGAACAAAUGCAAUUAAAAAUGUAUUUGUACAUGUUUUUAGUUUUGUGCAAAACAAAACAAAACAAACGACAACAAAAUUAAAGGCUCAGCAGUCUGUAGACACAAAGCCUGUUCAGGUUCAAAGAAAUAAAAAAUUCAGAUGAUAGGAUAAGUGAGAAAAACUAAUAUGUAUUAAACUGAAAUGGCAAAAAAAAAUAUUUUAGAAAAAAUCUCUAGUUUCUGAAGACUCAGUUCCAUUCAACAAACAUUUAUGGGCAUUUAUUUUUUGCCAGACACUAUAAUGGGUGCUCUAGGAUAUUUAAAGAUUAGCUUGGCCAGGUGUGGUGGCUCACACCUGUAAUCUCAUCACUUUGGGAGGCCAAUGCAGGAAGAUCACUUGAGCUCAGGAAUUCAAGACUAGCCUGGGUAACAUAGCAAGACCCCGUCUCUAUAAAACAUUAAAAAAUAGCUGAGUGUGGUGGCAUGCGUCUGCAGUCCCAGGCUACUCAGGAGGCUGAGAUGGGAGGAUUGCUUGAGCCUGGGAGGUUGAGGCAGCAUUGAGCCAUGAUCAUGCCACUGCACUCCAGACUGCAUGACAGAGCGAGACCCAGCCUCAAAAUAAAUAAAUAAAUAAAUAAAUAAAUAAAUAAAAAGGUUAGCUUGAUACUAUGUCUCUAUAUCUGCCCUUGGGGAGCUUAUAGCCUAAUAGGAUAGAUGACAAGUGCAAAAUGAUUGACAUGAAAAAGUGCAGCCCAAGUACCCAGACGAGAUCUUGGAGGCUGGAGAUAUUUAAAUGUCUGGCUCUAAGUAGAGAAAAGUGAUUCUUAGUGACCAAGUAAAGGAAGAGAUUAUACUAAAAAUGAUAUGGGCGACAGAGCGAGACUCCAUCUCAAAAAGAAGGAAAGAAAGAAAAAGAAAAAGAAAGAAAGAAAGAAAGAAAGAAAGAAAGAAAGAAAGAAAGAAAGAAAGAGAGAGAGAGAGAGAAGAAAGAAAGAAAGAAAGAAAGAAAGAAAGAAAGAAAGAAAGAAAGAAAGAAAAGAAAGAAUGAUAUGGGCAAUAAUAGGGAAAUUCAUUGAAUGCAAGGGACUCUGGGUUCUAGUUCUUGCUUUUAGCCACCUUGUAGAAGAGCUUACAAAGAGUAAACUAUUUACAUGCUGAUCUUCUCACAAAUAGUAUGCCAUGUAGAAUGUUCAGAGAGUCUGGGCACUUUGUUAAUGAUCACAAUUAAGCUAAAUAGUAGAUAUAACAAUAUUCUAUUCAAAAUGCAUUGAUCAUUAUGGUUAAACAUGGACAAAAGCAUUCUGCAGAUCUCCCAUUGCUUUGGUGUAUGUUAAAGGAUUUCAGUGUAUUUGGUUGGUGCAAAAGUAAUUACAGUUUUUGCCAUUAAAAGUAAUGAAGCAGGAUUGAGAGUUUCUUUACAGGUCCCCAUAUCCCAUUAUUAUUAUUGAUUCAAUUUCCUAAUGCUUACUGUUAACCUCCUAAAUCUGCCAAAUGAUACAUGAUAUGCAUACUGCUUUUUAAAAAUACAAAAUUAAUUUUGUUUUGAGAAUUCUUGGCCAGUCCUUGAAAUAACUUGAAAAAGCCUGCAGUGUUUCAAAGUCAUGCUUGAAAAUUGCUGCCUUAGGAAACACAAAUUGUAAGAUUCUGAAGAUAACCAAAGGUGGGUGAGGUUUGGACAGACUGGCAAUUUUUUCUUAUGUUAAGGCAGAGGGUCAGAGGGUGCUCUUCCAACAGGAGCACUCCACAGCUUGUGUUUUUCACAAAAUCUCUUUAAAAUUAGCUGCCAGGAACUUGUCUGAAAAACACUGUACAGUAAGUGACAGCCAAAUAAGGCCUCAGGUUUUAACAAGUGGAAAUUUGAAAGUGGGCGAAAUGUUUUGAUAAAGUCACCCACGCCUAGAACAGCAGAUAACAUCUCUUAACUUCAUGAAAGUUUUCCUAGAUACCUCUUUGUGGAUUUUCAAAAUUUGUGGGAUUUUUUAGAUUAUUUGGAAUCCUUGAAAAUGUUUUGUCUCAUUAAUCAUUUAUAGGUGGUAACAAGGAAGAUGAGAUUUUCACAGGUUCUGACACAAAAAGUGUGCUUUUGUCUAGGUACAAACAAGCAAGGCUAGAUUUCCCACAAUGGAAAGAGAGCAAUGAUGUGGCUAAUUCAAAAGGAUGGAAGAAAUGAUUUAUACUCAGCUAUGGAAAACAUUGUAUGUUUCUCCAAACUAUGUUCUAAUUAGAUAAACAAGGGUUAAAAGGAAAUCGCUUUCAAAUUGUCCACAGGAUAUAGGCCAUGGAAAUGACCUGAUAGUGGGAGAGGUUAUGUUGUCUACUGGAUAAGAAGGUAUGGGUUAAUUUUAGAAAUGAAAAGUUUAUUUUGAACCCCAGAAGUACUAGUUACUAGUUGUGUUACUUUACUUUUCAGUGGCUCAGUUCCAGAUCUGUGAAAUAGGACGAUAAUAAUGAGGAUGAUGAUGAUAGUAGCUAUUGCAAAAGAAUGCUACAAGGAUUAAAUGUGUUAAUCCCCAUGAUAUAAGUGUUUAGGAGAGUGCCUGGUACAGAAUAACCACCCAGUAAAUAAAAAUCUACCAUUAUGUGAUAUGAGGAACUUAGAGAAAUUCACACUUAGUAGAUAUCAAUUAUGUACCAGGAACUUUGCAUUUUAUUUCCCUUAAUCCUUGCAAUCAUACUUAGGGUGUUGCUUUCGUACUACAAUUUUAGAGAUGAGGGCAUAAGGAGGUUAAAUAACUUGCCAGAGGUCAUAUAGUUUACCAAUGGCAUAAAUGGGAUUUAAAUCUGUGUCUAUGAGGUGCCAGAGCCUCUAUUUUGACUCUACAUUAUACAAACCCAAAAGGAAAGCAGAUCUAGUAUUUAAAAUUGUUUAUGGUUAUUUCUAUGGAAAACAGUAGACACCUGGGUCCCCUGAGUUCUUGAUCUAGUUAACACUAAAUUUUGCCCUUGGCUAUUCUCAGCAUAUACACUGAGUCAACCUGUAAACCUGCCAAGUCAUGAAGUUCUUUCUGAGGCAUGGUAUUGAAGUAAGGGCAGCUGAAGGUGGAAUUCCUGAGAUGUUUUUUGUUUUUAUGUUUUUUUCUCCUCUAUAUACCUGUCUUCUUUCAAUAUGAAGAAAUUUUAAUUAAACUCCAUGAUAGUUUUCCACUUAGCCAAAUAAUAUAUUCUAAAAUUAUUUUAUCUUAAAUUUUCAUCAUGAUUAUUUUUCAUUAUAAAGUUUGAUGAUAAAGUUAUAUCAUCCCCUUAUCUAAAAGCACAUCUGAACACUGUAGAACAUGGUUUUUCAAAUCAUCAUCAUCAUUGACCUUUUAUUAGGUACUGGGCUAGUAGGCAGAGAUUUCCAAAAAAGUAAAAUAUCUACUUUAGAAGGGAAUAUAAAUAAAACUCCCAACAAAGAAAAUAAAUACUAAGAAUCAAAUUAAUAAUAGAAAUGAUUGGUGCCUUCUGGGUUAAAAGGAGUGACCAAUAAUUUAUCUAGACAGAGAAUAACUCAAAAACAAGGCAGGGCUUGAAUUAAGUCUUGAAAGAAGGUACAUAUGGAGGAAUAAUGAGAGGUUUGGAGAGAUAGGUAGUUUAGGGGAGGUAAGAUGCAUUGGAUUUUUAGACUUUUUACUAUGGAAAAAUCAGUAACAUUUACGUGGUAGGUGGGUAAACAAUAUAUAAAGAGAUUUAAAUAAGUUUAACCUGGUUUUAAUAUGUUCUAUAAUUUGCAAGAGGAGGAUUCUAAAGAUCUUAUUUCAAUAUUUCCUAUUCAAUAUGAAUUUGUGUAGAAAUGGAAAGAGAGUACAAGACUUAGAAAAGUUUGUUCAUUGGCUGUAUAUAAGCUUGGAAGUCAAUAGAGAAGUCAAAAAUUCAUCAGAUAUUUCUUAUACAUUCCACCCAAUUAAACAUCAAAAGCCAGUAAACAGUUUUUUUAAGAGUUUCUAGAUUUCAUUGAACAAAACAAAUAUAUGUCUUGAUUUACAUGACAGCUAUAUUUUGAGCAUAUGAUGUGCUCUUCUAAGAUCAAUUCAUUUUAAUAAAAAGACCAAAUCUAGUUAUAUGGGGUUUUUUUCCUAGAUUAAAACUAAAUGUUAGAGUGAUCUCUGCUGAAAUAGUAAGUCAUUAUUUCACUUGAAAGAAACGUUAACAUUUUAUAGGGCACAACUUACAAUGGCAUUUUUUUUUUCUUUUUUCUUUUUUUUUUUUUUCUGAGACACAGUCCGGCUUUGUUGUCCAGGCUGGAGUGCAGUGGUGCCAUCUCAGCUCACUGCAACCUCCACCUUCUGGGUUCAAGUGAUUCUCCUGCCUCAGCCUCCUGAGUAGUGAGUAGCUGGGAUUACAGGCACCAACCACCAUGCCGGGCUAAUUUUCGUGUUUUUAGUAGAGACAGGGUUUCACCACAUUGGUCAGACUUGUCUCAAACUCCUGACCUCAAGUGAUCCUCCCACCUCGGCCUACCAAAGUGCUGGGAUUACAGGUAUGAGCCACUGUGCCUGGCCUAUACCAGCAAUUUUAACACAGCAUGUUUAUUUUAUUUCAGAGAAAAGUUGCAAUACAAUUUAGGUAAGAACCUUCCCUUUCCUCCUAAUAUAGUCAUUCUAAAAAUUCUAAGGGAAAUUACUUCUAAUUAUUUUGCUAAAAGGAAACCCCAGAAUGCCCUCUCUAAAUAUUACUCUGACUUCAAAGAAGAAAAUAAGUUUUGAUAGCCACUAAAUGUUUAACAUAUUAUAAUACCCUAUAUUUCUGGGUUUUAUUUCAGUGAGAGGAAUAACCAAACAUUUUGUCUGCAACUUGUCAACAACAACAACAACAAAAAUCCCAUAUCUCAAUCUGUACUAGAUCAUCCCUUAGCCUAUUGAAUUACUGAGAAAAAAAUAACUAGAUGUAAGUGCAAAACACUAGUGCACUAAGCAUAAGCACUUUGCAUUAUUACAUGUUUUGAUCAUUACAAUCAUUCUAACAAGGUGGUUACUAUUACCCACAUUUUAAAUCUGAGAAAACUGACAUACAAAAAAAAAAUUAAAUAACUUCCUCGAAGUCAUCCACACCAAAUGAUCUCUAAUCCUCAAGGUCAUAAUCAAAAGAUUUUCAAACUCCCCAAAAUUGUUCAUUGUAUUACAAACACCAGACAUUUAGUGCACGAAAGAUCUUGGGUGGACCUUCAGAAUCCUUGUGCAUAAUGAAAUUGACAAGAAGAAACAAACGUUUGUUGUCUUUGUCCACAUAACAGACAUGAUAAGGAACAAAAUCCAACAGGUAUCCUAAAUUCAGAGGAAUAUAACACAAUAGUGAUCUAUUCAAAACUCAACACCAAGGAACACAUUUCCUUAUCUUUCUCUUUCAUUUGCUAUACCCACCCCUGACCGGCCCCCAAGAAAGGAUUUUUUUGGAAUCUUUCUCAAAUUAGUAUAAUAUAACUGGAUAACUUCCCUCUAAUCCCCAUACAUAACAUCUGUUCCAGUCAUUCUGUUUUUUGAAUAUGGUUUCUAUGAGACAGUGUAUUUCACUGAACAUGUCUAUAAUUCAUAGAUUUUAAUUAUAGUUGGAAAUUUUUUCUAAAGUUAAACAUAUCUAAACAAUGGUUUCUCAUAAGGAAAUCAUAUUUUCAGAAAUAACAUUUUUUCAUACCUAACUAUAAGGAAUCUUCUGAAACCUAGAUUUUUAUCUGGGAUGCUUUACAAAAGGCAUUAGGGAAACCAGAGUUGUAUUCCCCAUUUUGUAAUAAGUUAGCAAAGUCACCUUCAACAAGUUCAUUAAACUUCUCUGGAACUCACUUUCCCAGUAUGAAGUCAUAUAACUUAACUAAGGUUUAAUAACUUAAAAAAAAUCUUAUCCUAGUGUUGAAUUGGGAGUUUCAUUUGUCAUUUAAGGAAAACAAAUAUCAAGUGCAUCCUGAGCCAAUAUAGUCUCUUCCACUUUCAUGCGGUGUUAUUAUAUACCACAAAUGCUUUUAGAAGAAAAAUGAAAAACAAGAUAUUCAAUGUUUAGGAAAUUGAAGAUGGAAAACAAGAGAGUGCUACAAUAAAUAGGUGCUUUACUGAUGCUUUUAUGGCUCUGAAACUUGGGAAACUUUUUUCCCUAACUAGGUAAAAAAUUUGUUCUGAUAUCUGAGUCACAGCUUGGGAGAUGGAGUGGGAGAGCAAUGCCUAAGUUAAUUUAAUAUUUGAAAUCAAAGCAUUGUUUUACUUCUAAAAUAGUGAAACUACACAGAUAGGUAUAUUCACUGUUACAUAAUAAGUCAAAUUUUCUAAAACAUCAGGGCUUAAGUUACCUUUUAGACAAUUUCAGAGGAACCUCUCCACUCACAUUUCACAAAGCAUGUCUCACCGAAGAUGAGUUUUGCCUAAUUUUAAUGAAUGUUUCACGAAAAAAAAAAAAGCAUUUUGUGAUUUAAAAAAUAUAUGGAGCUGGGUUGAAUACAACUAAAUGGGGCUCCUCAGAGUAAGAGCUCUCCGUCUUUUAAUAUGUUAAUGUGAUUUGUGAAUGUAGACUCGCCUGGCUCUAAAUCCACCUGCAUCCUCCAGCAUGUCCAGAGAUUAAUGUUUCCAGGAACCCUUAACUCGACUUUCCACAAACAUCUCCUUGAACAUAGCUGAUAGAUAAUGCAAACCUUCCUGAUUUUCUGGAGUGCGUUCUUUUUUCUUUUUGUUGAACUGCAGCCAAACGGAAUGCUUCCAGCAGAAUGAUGACUUAGUUCGGGUACUGGCUGCCCUGGUAACAGCCUCCAUUAGAAUCAGGUUAUUGUUAUGGUCCUGCUCUCAGGCUAAUUUCACCCUCCUCUGCAAUUGGUGUAUCUCCAAAUGUAAAAGACAUAACCUUAGCAAAGACUAUGAGAGGGAUGGGGCCAUGCCUCUAAAUAACAGCUUUGUGGACAGAAGCCUGUUGGGAGACUAUGGACAAACUAACAGGACAGAAAAAUAUUGGACUAGAUGGUACUGUUGGUAAGAAGAUGUAUAAAGGCAACUGAAGGCCAGACAGGUGCUCUUCAAACAUUGAUGGACCUACAAAUCACCUGGAGACCAUGCUAACAUAAAGAUUCUGAUUCAGUACAUCUGGGGUGAGGCUCGAGCUCCUGAAUUUCCAAAGCUCCCAUGGGAUGCUAUUGCCUGUCCAUAGAUUGCUCCAUAUGUAUCUUGGCCUUAGAUUAUGUAGGUAUUGAUGGCUAAUGAAUACAGCAAAAGAAGGCAAUUAACUUGGACACAGGUGAUCCUAUUUCUUUAUAUUCAGGCAUUUGUGUAAUGUUUAAAUUCACUGCUGAUAUUAUAAUAAAUCAUGCAAUUUCUAAAAUAACUUAUAUAACAGUAUUACAUAACAAAAUCAUAAACCAUUUUUUUCAAAAGCGCAUAUACACUCUAAAAGAUUCCAUUCUAGAAGCAAACUUUGCUAUAUUAAAUCCACACUUUUUAGAUGAGACAAAAAAAAGAAGUUGAAAUAAACUCUUUUGCAGGUGUUGUGAAUAUCUAUGUCUGUUAAUAAAUUAUAAAUUAAAAGUAAUAAUUACAUAAUUGAAAGGUAAACUUUAAGACUUAUAGACUGUUUUCUGAAUGUAAUUUAUUUAAUUAUUCUACAAGCAUUUAAUAAGACACACCAUGUGCUAGGUUCUGUGGGUCCAGUGAAGACAUGGUCUUUGUGUAUCUGGGGAUACAAGAUUCAUUCUUUGCUACACUCACAGUCUCCUGGGACUUUCAGUCUAGUCUACUGUGCAGUAUGAAACAUGCGAAGGACACUUACCAUCAAGAUUCACUACCACACUAUUGACCUAUUAUCUAAAGAAUUAAGAAAGUAUGCAUCCGCCAACUCAAUACCUAGCCUUAUAGUCAAUCUAUGGAUAACUGUAAAAGCAGGUAUAUGCUUUUCUUUCUGGGGCUUCCCAAGAAGUUAUUCUGACCUGGAAGAGCUCAAAUGGUUGCUAAAUUAUGAAAAUCAAUUUGAAUUUCUUUCUGAAAUUAUUAUUUUAAGCUGUAGUAAAAUACAUAUGAAUAUUACACCAAUAUUAUAAAGGCAUAUAUUCUAGUUAGGCUAAUAACCACCAUUUAUAUCCUGUAAUUAUAUAAACAUUGCAUAAGCCAACUAGUAAUUAUUUAAUCAAUCAGUUAUAAGGGAAAUCAACCUAUGACAAAGAAAUCCUCUUGAUACACCCCUGGUGAAAACACUUCAGUCUAAACAGCAGUUGCCUCAUGAUUCUUGUACUUUAAAUGCUGGGAAUAUAGUAAGUGUUCAAUAGACACUAGACACAGGUAGAAAAGGAAGGAGGAAAUGAUUUUGCCGUUUGUUUUACUAUUUUUUAUGCUUUUAGAUAGUUAACAGGCUAAAAAGGUAGGGUGUUCAAAUCAAUUUAUACUGAUCUAUCUACUAAAAUUCUACAUUGUUUUAGAAAUCCUUUUGCUAGGCCAGUGCAGUGGCUCACACUUGUAAUCCCAGCACUUUGGGAGGCCAAGUUGGGCCAAUCACCUGAGGUCAGGAAUUUGAGACCAAACUGGCCAAC
rnacentral:lncRNA from 1 species